AUAGCUAGUGGCCACCAGGACUUAUGCAUUUUGUAGUCAUCCCUUUUGUAUACAUGUAUCAGCUUCUUUUGUUCAUUUAGAGAUGUAAAGUUGUAAACAAUCAUGUACUUUUGGUGGAUGGUUAAAAUGUAAAGAAUUGUGAAUGAAUGGAAAAAGAAUGUAAUAGUUGUAGUUUACUUUUAUUUGGUUCAAAUGAAAUCAAGUAUUAUGUAUGUAUUAGCUUAGAGCUUUCGCUUCCAUUGUUGCUUGC
rnacentral:lncRNA from 1 species